UACGUAUGGUGCAAGCGUUAUCCGGAUUUACUGGGUGUAAAGGGAGCGUAGGCGGCGCGUUAAGUCUGAUGUGAAAACCCGAGGCUCAACCACGGGAGUGCAUUGGAAACUGGCGUGCUGGAGUGCCGGAGAGGUAAGCGGAACUCCUAGUGUAGCGGUGAAAUGCGUAGAUAUUAGGAGGAACACCAGUGGCGAAGGCGGCUUACUGGACGGCAACUGACGCUGAGGCUCGAAAGCGUGGGGAGCAAACAGG
rnacentral:rRNA from 1 species